rnacentral:sRNA from 1 species
GUGACCCAGUGGCCUUGGAUCCAGAAAGAAUGUAGAGGUCUCCCUACGUGUUUGACUGCAUUGCCCUUUGGACUUGCUGAUCUGCCACUGUCCUAGUUACCUGGAGGCAGGCAAUUCUACUUUAGAUUUGCCCAACGGUUGGUUAUACUUUCUGGCUUGCUAAUGACACUUAUCCUCUCUGUGGGACUCAGACUAUCUCACCUCCCUCUGAGAUGCCAAGAUGUCCUUGGAGACCUAAAUACUGAACUUUGCCAAAUCCAUGACAGAGCAUACAGGAGCAGCUGCCCUCUUCUGUUCUUGAGGUGGCUGGCCACAUGCCCAGAACUGCCUUGGGAGCCACAGUGCUGGACCACAAAUGAUUUCUACUACAUGGUCAGUGCAUGGGGAACAAUACAGGAGUGUGAGAAGAAAGGACGGAUUACCAUAGCCCCAGAAACCCAGAUCUGCGGAGUGAGAUACAAAAUGAAGACAGAAAAUAGUACCCUGAAGUCACCUAGGAAAAAUGUUUCCAGAAAUUUUUGAAAAAUCAUGGAACACAUGGUCUAAUAACAGGACAGGAUAUUGGCAAUCAGAGCUGCUCUGGAAAUCAGGACCACCACCCCCCUUGGAAAUCUGAAACACAUGGCCCCAGUAAUUAAGGGCAUGGAACUUUACCCUGAGACCACAAGUGUCCCCUGCUGCCCUCAGUCAUGAUGUGGACGGAAGACAAGAUGGGGAGAUCAGGACAAAGAGCAACAUACUCCUGGGCCCCUCCCUCUUCCAGCUCAUGUGAUUUACACACAUUCAUACACCCAAGUUCAGUAAUAAAAACUACAUGCCUACCAACCUGAUUUGAAUCACCCAUUCCUUUUAAAGGGAGAUUUUCCCCCACUCUUUUGAAAUAGCAUGAAAUAUAAACUGAACAGUCUAAAAUGUCCACUCCCACCUUCCUUAUACAUUUGCCAGAAGCCAAUCUGGCCAUUUAUUUUUUCAAGGAAUCCAUUUGCAUCUCUUUACCAUCAUAUUUCAAACUGGAGUGAGAAAUGGCUCAGGGACUUGGAGACGGCCUCAUUUUGGGUCCUAAACCUGUCUGUUUCUCUUCACCAUCCCGGAAUGAUCACAAGGUCUUCUGAUAGAAGAUGAGAGUGGAAAUCAGGUUUCUUGGCAAUCACUUGACUCAAUGUGUUUGAAUCUCCUGCUGACCAAAUGUUUUGCAGAUGCUUCAUCUACAACAUGCAUAUGUGUGUGCUGGGGAGGGAGAGGAGAGACGGCUGAACCAGUCAGGGCUGGAAGGAUUUGUGUUGGGAAUACCAGUGAGAUACCUCCUGUCUCUUCCAUUGCAGUAGUCCAUUGAGGAGUUUACUUUCUUAUAGUUCAUCUUGGCAGUGGCUCCCUUUGAGGUUCAAAAAGCUGAGGGAGGCUUGCUUUUCCACACAAAUCACUGCUUAAGCAAAGGUGAAAAUCUCAACAUCAAAACUGUAACAAAAAUCGAGCCUGUGUUGUUUUCGUUAAAACGAGUAAGACACUGUCAAAUAAAAACUGCCCUAAGCAAUUAUACAUUUUCCUCUCCUUUAUUUUAUGAGUCUAUGAAUCUUUUAUACAACCAUCUAGCAGUGUGUGUGUGUAUGUG